rnacentral:misc_RNA from 1 species
AAGUCGUAACAAGGUUUCCGUAGGUGAACCUGCGGAAGGAUCAUUCAUACUAAGUGUUUUAUGGCACUUUUUAAAUCCAUAUCCACCUUGUGUGCAAUGUCAGUCGGUUUUCUUUUUCGUCAAGAAAAAAAGGAUCGACCAAACAUCAACUUAUUCUAAUUGAACUUUUGUCUGAAAACUAUUAUGAAUAAACUAAUUCAAAAUACAACUUUCAACAACGGAUCUCUUGGCUCUC